UCCGGUUGAUCCUGCCGGAGGCCACUGCUAUCGGUUUCCGACUAAGCCAUGCGAGUCAUGGGGUCGCAAGACACCGGCGCACGGCUCAGUAACACGCGGAUAAUCUAUCCUCUGGUGGGGGAUAACCUCGGGAAACUGAGGCUAAUACCCCAUAGAUGUUCAAUUCUGGAAGGAUUGAAUGUUGAAAGCGCAAGUGCCAGAGGGUGAGUCUGCGGCCUAUCAGGUUGUAGGUGGUGUAAAGGACCACCUAGCCUAAGACGGGUACGGGCCUUGAGAGAGGAAGCCCGGAGAUGGGUUCUGAGACACGAACCCAGGCCCUACGGGGCGCAGCAGGCGCGAAACCUUCGCACUGCGCGAAAGCGCGACGAGGGGAGACCGAGUGCCUCUCCUUUUUUGGGGAGGCUUUUCGCAAGCCUAAAAAGCUUGUGGAAUAAGGGCUGGGCAAGACGGGUGCCAGCCGCCGCGGUAAUACCCGCAGCUCAAGUGGUGGUCGCUUUUAUUGAGCCUAAAACGUUCGUAGUCGGCUUUGUAAAUCCUUGGGUAAAUCGGGCCGCUCAACGGUUCGAAUUCUGAGGAGACUGCAAAGCUAGGGACCGGGCGAGGUCGGAGGUACUUUCGGGGUAGGGGUGAAAUCCUGUAAUCCCGAAGGGACCACCUGUGGCGAAAGCGUCUGACUUGAACGGCUCCGACGAUGAGGAACGAAGGCUAGGGGAGCAAACCGGAUUAGAUACCCGGGUAGUCCUAGCUGUAAACUCUGCCCGCUUGGUGUGGCCUGUUCUUCGGGAGCAGGCUGUGCCGGAGCGAAGGUGUUAAGCGGGCUGCUUGGGGAGUACGGCCGCAAGGUUGAAACUUAAAGGAAUUGGCGGGGGAGCACCGCAACGGGAGGAUGCGUGCGGUUUAAUUGGAUUCAACGCCGGG
rnacentral:rRNA from 1 species